rnacentral:rRNA from 1 species
UUGAAAGGGAAACGAUUGAAGUCAGUCGUACUUGCGGGUAAUCAGCCUUUUGGGUGUGAUUCUGUGGAGCGUGGGGAGUUAAACGCCCUCAUGCCUGCGUAUUCGUGCACUUUGGGUGUACUUGCCCGUGUGGUAGGUUAACAUCAAUUUUGAUCAUCAUAAAAUGGCUGGAGGAAUGUAGCUUCGAUCUCGUAUUGAAGUGUUAUAGCCUUCGGCAGAUGUGAUGAUCGGGAUUGAGGAUUGCAACGGAUACCCUUCGGGGCUACCUGUCUGAUCUCUGGUUGUUGCUCUGGUGCCGAAAGCGUGCUUACGGUUAUCAAAGUCGAUGGUCAACAGGUUAGAACGGGUUAAAUUCGUUAAGGAUGUUGACGUA